rnacentral:rRNA from 1 species
UACGGGGGGGCAAGCGUUGUUCGGAAUUACUGGGCGUAAAGGGCUCGUAGGUGGCCAACUAAGUCGGACGUGAAAUCCCUCGGCUUAACCGGGGAACUGCAUCCGAUACUGGAUGGCUUGAGUUCGGGAGAGGGAUGCGGAAUUCCAGGUGUAGCGGUGAAAUGCGUAGAUAUCUGGAGGAACACCGGUGGCGAAGGCGGCAUCCUGGACCGACACUGACGCUGAGGAGCGAAAGCCAGGGGAGCAAAGCG